rnacentral:rRNA from 1 species
GACGAACGCUGGCGGCGGGCUUAACACAUGCAAGUCGAACGCUGAAGCUUGGUGCUUGCACUGGGUGGAUGAGUGGCUAACGGGUGAGUAAUACGUGAGUAACCUGCCCUUGACUCUGGGAUAAGCCUGGGAAACUGGGUCUAAUACUGGAUAUGACAUGCCACUGCAUGGUGGUGUGUGGAAAGGGUUUUACUGGUUUUGGAUGGGCUCACGGCCUAUCAGCUUGUUGGUGGGGUAAUGGCCUACCAAGGCGACGACGGGUAGCCGGCCUGAGAGGGUGACCGGCCACACUGGGACUGAGACACGGCCCAGACUCCUACGGGAGGCAGCAGUGGGGAAUAUUGCACAAUGGGCGGAAGCCUGAUGCAGCGACGCCGCGUGAGGGAUGACGGCCUUCGGGUUGUAAACCUCUUUCAGCACGGAAGAAGCGAGAGUGACGGUACGUGCAGAAGAAGCGCCGGCUAACUACGUG